rfam:Fungal sp. No.14919 DNA, contig: Contig0022.
GGCUCAAUGGUCUAGUGGUAUGAUUCCUGCUUCGGGUUGCGCCCUUCCAUCUUACUUGGGAAUGCAGGAGGCCCCGGGUUCGAAUCCCGGUUGAGCCC